rnacentral:rRNA from 1 species
ACUCAAAGGAAUAGACGGGGGCCCGCACAAGCAGCGGAGCGUGUGGUUUAAUUCGAUGCAACGCGCAGAACCUUACCAGGGCUUGACAUGCAGCUUACAGCGGGCGAAAGCCCGCGGCCGCGAGGCGUGCUGCACAGGUGCUGCAUGGCUGUCGUCAGCUCGUGCCGUGAGGUGUUGGGUUAAGUCCCGCAACGAGCGCAACCCCCGCGUCUAGUUAGGUUCCUAGACGGACGGCCGGGACCAACCCGGAGGAAGGUGGGGACGACGUCAAGUCAGCACGGCCCUUACGCCCUGGGCUACACACACGCUACAAUGGCCGGUACAGCGGGCGGUGCGAAGCCGCGAGGCGGAGCGAAUCCCUGCAAAGCCGGCCCCAGUUCAGAUCGGGGGCUGCAACUCGCCCCCGUGAAGGCGGAGUUGCUAGUAACCGCGGGUCAGCACACCGCGGUGAAUACGUUCCCGGGCCUUGUACACACCGCCCGU